rnacentral:rRNA from 1 species
GCUACGGGCGGCAGCAGUGAGGAAUAUUGGUCAAUGGCCGCAGGGCUGAACCAGCCAAGUCGCGUGAGGGAUGACGGUCCUAUGGAUUGUAAACCUCUUUUGUCAGGGAGCAAAGGGCGCCACGUGUGGCGUUUUGCGAGUACCUGAAGAAAAAGCAUCGGCUAACUCCGUGCCAGCAGCCGCGGUAAUACGGAGGAUGCGAGCGUUAAUCGGAAUUACUGGGCGUAAAGCGCUCGUAGGCGGUAUGUCAAGUCAAGGGUGAAAUCCCCGCGCUCAACGUGGGAACUGCCUUUGAAACUGGCAAACUGGAGUGUGUGAGAGGAUAGUGGAAGUCCAGGUGUAGGAGUGAAAUCCGUAGAUAUCUGGAGGAACAUCAGUGGCGAAGGCGACUAUCUGGCACAUAACUGACGCUGAGGAGCGAAAGCGUGGGUAGCAAACAGGAUUAGAUACCCGGGUAGUC